UACGAGGGGAGCAAGCGUUGUUCGGAAUUACUGGGCGUAAAGGGCGCGUAGGCGGCUUAUCAAGUCAGGCGUGAAAUUCCCGGGCUCAACCUGGGGGCUGCGCUUGAUACUGAUGAGCUUGAAUGCGGGAGAGGAUAGUGGAAUUCCCAGUGUAGAGGUGAAAUUCGUAGAUAUUGGGAAGAACACCGGUGGCGAAGGCGGCUAUCUGGCCCGUAAUUGACGCUGAGGCGCGAAAGCGAUGGGGAGCAAACAGGGAUUAAGAA
rnacentral:rRNA from 1 species